AACAAACGCUGGCGGCGUGCCUAACACAUGCAAGUCGUACGAGAAAGUCCGCUUCGGUGGGUAAGUAAAGUGGCGCACGGGUGAGUAACGCGUGGAUAAUCUACCCUUUAGUCGGGAAUAACUUAUCGAAAGGUGAACUAAUACCGGAUGAAACUGCACAACUACUGUUGUGUAGUCAAAGAAGGCCUCUGCUUGCAAGCUUUCGCUAAAGGAUGAGUCCGCGUACCAUUAGCUAGUUGGUAGGGUAAUAGCCUACCAAGGUUAUGAUGGUUAGCUGGUCUGAGAGGAUGAUCAGCCACACUGGAACUGAAACACGGUCCAGACACCUACGGGUGCAGG
rnacentral:rRNA from 1 species